AUGGGAAAGGAGAGGCGAAUUUGGCCCUUGCUCCCUCCCUUCCUUUAUGCUGCGCGAGUUGUUCUCAUUAGCAUAAAAUUCAUCCCGCUUGUAAUUAAAGAGGGGAGGCAGAUAGAACCCAGUCUUUUUUUCUCAUGGCAGGGAACGAAUAAGCAUCUCCCUCUCUGCAGGAACUCUCCAGGACACACACUGAUGCAGGACCUUGGACAGAUAUAUCAUCAUCUCAAGCCAGAAAAACAAAAAAACGCAGAGAAAUAAUUUGAGUGAGAGAGAUCAGUAGCUGUGUGGGCCUGGACAAGGAGAACAGGUGAGAGUCCUAAUAGUAACCACAAUGCUAUCUUAGCAUGCAUAAUGAGUUUUAUUUUAUUUUUUGAGGGGGAGGGGGGUGAACAGUUUAUAUUCUGAAGAGGCCCUGUACUUCUCAUUCAUGUGGGAACAUUUCACACUGUGUCAGAAAAUGUCUCUUAGAAACAAUAACAACAAUUUUACUUGCUAGUCUUAACAAAUACUGUAUGGACACAUAAAAAAAAUAAUAUGUAGGAUUUGGAAAAUUACCAAAUUGUAAUGCCAGCAGAGUUGAAACACACCAGACCUUAUGCUUCUUAGACCCAGUGAGGCAGAAGACGUGGAAGACUGUAGACCAACAGCUAACUCCUGACGUAAAUUCAACUGUUUAAGUUAGGCCAGAGUCUGAGGUCGAUCUCGGGACACGGAAACUUCACAAUAAAAGAGAAAUCUUGAUUUUUGUUUUCUGAUUACAGAUUAAUUUAGUCUUGGAUAACUUUUGUUUGGCCAUCAUCAAUUUCCCAUGAUUUUAGUCAUAUUAACAAUAUUUACACUGCCUUCAGAAAGUAUUCACACCCCUUGAGUGGGAUUAAAAUUGAUUUAAUUGUUUUAAAAAAUUGUCAACGAUCUACACAAAAUACUGUGUAAUGUCAAAGUGGAAGAAAAAUUAUAAUAUUUGUAAAACAUUAAUGAAAUAUAAAACACUAAUAUAUCUUGAUUAGAUGAGUAUUCAACUCCCUGAGUCAAUACAUGUUAGAAUCACCUUUGAUAGUCUUUCUGGGUAAGACUUUAAGAGCUUUCCACACCUGGAUUGUGCAACAUUUGCCCAUUGUCCUUUUCAAAAUUCUUCAAACUCUGUCAAAUUGUUUGUUGAUCAUUGCUAAACAACCAUUUUCAGGUCUUGCCAUAUAUUUUCAAGCAGAUUUAAGUCAAAACUGUAACUCGGCCACUCAGGAACAUUCACUGUCUUCUCGGUAAGCAACAGUGUAGAUUUGAUCUUGUGUUUUAGUUUAUUGACCUGCUGAAAGGUGAAAUCAUCUCCUAGUAUUACUUUAGUGCCUUGUUACUAACAGGAUGCAUGUUUUUGAAUAUUUUUAUUAUGUACAGACUUCUUUCUUUUCACUCUGUCAUUUAGGUUAGUAUUGUGGAGUAACUACAAUGUUGUUGAUCCAUCCUCAGUUUUCUCCUGUCACAGCCACUAAACGAUAACUGUUUUAAAGUUACCAUUGACCUCAUGGUGAAAUCCCUGAGUGGUUUCCUUCCUCUCCGGCAACUGAGUUAGGAAGGAUGCCUGUAUCCCUGUAAUGACUGGAUGUAUUGAUACACCAUCCAAAGUGUCAUUAAUAACUUCACCACGCUCAAAGGGAUAAUGGAUGUCUGUUUUUUUUUUACCCAUCUACCAGUAGGUGCCCUUCUUUGCGAGGCAUUGGAAAAUCUCCUUGGUCUUUGUGGUUGAAUCUGUGUUUGAAAUUCACUUCUUGACUGUAGGACCUUACAGAAAAUGGUAUAUGUGGGGUACAGAGAUGAAUUAGUCAUUCAAAAAUCAUGUUAAACACUAUUAUUGCACAAAUAGUUAGUCCAUGCAACUUAUUUUCUGACUUGUUAAGCACUUUUUUUUUACUCCUGAACAUAUUUACGCUUGCUAAGGUGUUGAAUACUUAUUGACUCAAGACAUUUAAUUUUUUCAUUUUUUCUUCAUUUAUUAACAUUUCUAAAAUAGAAUUCUACUUGGGGUACCAGUGACAAAAAAUAUCUACAUUUAAUCAUUUUUGAAUUCAGGCUGUAACAUGACAAAAUGUGGAAAAAGUCAAGUGGUGUGAAUACUUUCUGAAAGCACUGUAUGCCAGGCCCUCAUCCAUUUAGCCCUGGCAACUUUGUGUGUGUUUUUUACACUCUCAUUCCUCCACCCUCUCUC
ensembl:lncRNA